GACCUAGCUGGUGGGAUGAGUCAUGAAGAGAGAGCACCCCAAGUCACAGAGAGAGAGGCCACAGGGCAAGCGAACAACAGAAGGGUCGCCAGAUUGGAUGAAAUCUGAUUCCCCAGACAGCCACAAAGAGGCCUCCCAGUGCCUUGAGUGAUGACUCUGAGUUCAGCCACAUCAGCUAAAGGUCUUUCAGCUCAAUAAAAUGGAUUGAAUCAGAGUCAUUUCUGAAUAAUGCCUUAACACAAAACUGCAUAACAGAGAGCAGAUUCUAGCUCAAAGACUUUAAGGGCAGCUGCUGAGCAGUUGAAAGAAUGGAGUGGGCUGGAUUGCAGUUAAAUGGAGGAAAAAAGCUGCUCUUGUAGAGAGAGAUGAAAAACGGACACACCCCUUCUGAAAAGAGAAUAAUCAGACACAAGGCAGGAUAUUUAUACCAGAAUUCCCUGCCUCCAUUUGCUGUUUGUUUCUCAUUAGAAUGUUUGUUUAGUAGCAUCUGAGACAAGGCAGUAAGAAGACUGGGAAACUUUAAUGAGCUCUGGAAGUGACAGUUUCCCAAUUGAAAAUUUGAUGAGAUGUUGUAUCUUAAAUCCAGCACAGCAUGUGCACAGAGUGAACAAAACAGCAGAAUAAAAUGUAUUUUAUUAAUGAUGAACCAAGGCUGGGCAUGAAAGAACCUUUUAAAUAUCUGAAAUGUUAAAAUGCGUCCUUUCCCUUCAGGAAAGGAAGUAUUCAAAGGGACAGGGCUGAUGAACUGAGUUUAUUAAAUUGACUUGGCAGUGAUGAAAAUAGUAUGGACGAGAGGACUGUUGUAUACUUCAAACACACUUACUGCAGUAAUGAACGUAAAG